GAUAUCCUACGGGGGGCAGCAGUGAGGAAUAUUGGUCAAUGGACGAGAGUCUGAACCAGCCACGUAGCGUGAAGGAUGACUGCCCUAUGGGUUGUAAACUUCUUUUAUAUGGGAAUAAAACAGGGUAUGCAUACCCUCUUGUAUGUACCAUAUGAAUAAGGAUCGGCUAACUCCGUGCCAGCAGCCGCGGUAAUACGGAGGAUGCGAGCGUUAUCCGGAUUUAUUGGGUUUAAAGGGUGCGCAGGCGGAUUUUUAAGUCAGCGGUCAAAUCGUGGGGCUCAACCCCAUCCAGCCGUUGAAACUGG
rnacentral:rRNA from 1 species